GGGAAGGUGGCUCAGUGGUAGAGCAUUUGCCUUGCAUGCACAAGGCCCUGGGUUCGAUUCCUCAGCCCCA
rnacentral:tRNA from 1 species